UACGUAGGGUGCAAGCGUUAAUCGGAAUUACUGGGCGUAAAGCGUGCGCAGGCGGUUAUGUAAGACAGGUGUGAAAUCCCCGGGCUUAACCUGGGAACUGCAUUUGUGACUGCAUAGCUAGAGUGUGUCAGAGGGGGGUAGAAUUCCACGUGUAGCAGUGAAAUGCGUAGAUAUGUGGAGGAAUACCGAUGGCGAAGGCAGCCCCCUGGGAUAACACUGACGCUCAUGCACGAAAGCGUGGGGAGCAAACAGG
rnacentral:rRNA from 1 species